UACGAAAGGUGCAAGCGUUACUCGGAAUCACUGGGCGUAAAGCGCACGUAGGCGGACUCGUAGGUCAAUUGUGAAAUCCCCGGGCUCAACCUGGGAACUGCAUUCAAAACUGACAAGCUAGAGUAUGGUAGAGGGUGGUGGAAUUUCCUGUGUAGCGGUGAAAUGCGUAGAUAUAGGAAGGAACACCAGUGGCGAAGGCGACCACCUGGACUGAUACUGACACUGAGGUGCGAAAGCGUGGGGAGCAAACAGG
rnacentral:rRNA from 1 species